CCCCGAUAGCUCAGUCGGUAGAGCGCCGGACUGUUAAUCCGUAGGUCCCUGGUUCGAGCCCAGGUCGGGGAGCCA
rnacentral:tRNA from 7 species